GUCCCGCGGGUCGCUGCUCAUCUCGUCGUUGAAGCUGUGGCCAUCGAGGCUGUCAACAUCAGAUGGGGAUGGAGGACAGGGUAGCUCCUGAAGCAGAAAGAGGAAGCAGAAGUUAGGCGGUCUCCCAGACCACACACCUGGGGAGGAGCUCCCUUCUGCUCUUCCUGGGGAGACUGAGAUGGGAAUGAGCAAGUCUUCUGGAACGGAGGGCUUACACCAGUAGGGCAACAAGAUCCUGGUGUGCACUGAAAGGCAGACAAGGAGAUGGGAGGGGAGAAAGAAUGCAAGGAUCUUUACCAAGAAUGCAAUAAACCUUCCCAUCAGUAGGGGAAAAGAUUUGGCUGCUGUCAUCUCUGAUUUCCAAUUUCUAGGACUGAGACACAAAAUGCAAGGCAGUCAUGAUGCAAGAACGUUUUGGAGGAAG